rnacentral:lncRNA from 1 species
GAACCCACCCCCAAUUCAAUGCUUUCCUAACUAAGCCUUAAGAUGAGAAUGCUAAACAAAUAAAUAAAUAGACAAAAUAAGAAGGAUUCAUUCCCACUGUCCACGUAAUACAUCCCCAUUCUCUUCAUGUUAUUUAAGAAAUUAUGCAGUCCCACUAUCCAAGUAAUACAUCCCCAUUCUCUUCAUGUCAUUUAAGAAAUUAUUCAGUUUCAUAUCAGAGUAGGAAUAUUGUUCCUGAAAUAAAGAAUAACCACUUGUUCAUCAAAAAUUUCAAACAUACACUUUUAGGUUAUGUUUGUAUCCCGAAUUUGAUAGGGAAAAAAAUAGAAAUGGAAAAGUGAUACGAUCCAACCUUUUCAAACCAUUAAAUCAUCUACCAAUUUCAUUUCCAUUUCCAUUUCCAUUUCAUUUUCCCUUACCAAAUCCUUGAUCCAAACACAAUUAACUCGACUGAUUUAAACUCAAAGUGAAGUUGAUUUUUUUUAUUUAUUUUAUUUU